rnacentral:lncRNA from 1 species
AGGUCUGUGAGGUUAAAAGCAAAGCUUCCGGCCUGAAUCCAAACUUCAUUCACCAACUGGAGGAAGUUAGGGUGCUUGGUAAGGUAGUUGAAGAAUUUAAAGGGUCUAGUUCCAGCUUUUGGGAGUUGGUAAGCCAGGUCAACAAGGCAGGGAGCAUGAUCAGAGGGCAAAGGAGGGAGGAAGGUGGCAAUGCUAUCAGGGAAGAGAGAUAACCAGUGGUGGUUAACAAGUACACGGUGUAGUUUCUUGGCGAUAGGGGCUAAAGGUUGGUUGUUAGUCCAAGUGAAGAGAGGCCCGUGAAACCUCAAGUCAAAAAGAUCCAAUUGAUCAAGACAGUCUCUGAACUCAGUCAUAGAAGGAGUGAGGGAGUUGACUGUAGACGAAGAAUGCUCUUCAUAGUGGAUUAUUUGAUUGAAAUCUCCUCCCACAAGCCAAGGAGAAGAGUCAAGGGAGAGAGCAUGUUGCAGUUGCAGAAGCUCCACCCAAAGAUCUGUUCUUUCUUCCCUUAAGUUGGAGGCAUAUACUGCUGUGAAGACAAACUUUAACUUGUUUACAAUGCUGACUUCACAAGUAACCGACUGCUUGGAUUGGUGCAAUACCCUAACAGAUGCAGGGUCCUUCCAAAUAAUAACGAUACGGCCAUCAUCAUCAGACUGAUGGUUAGAGGUAAAAUUCCAGCCAGGGCAAACCUUUGCCAUAAUCUGGUUCAAGCUAAGAUCCUUGAUAUGUGUUUCCAAAAUUGCUCCAAAAAGAGUCUGGCUGCUUCUAAGCCAAUCACAAAAGGGCUGAUGCUUAUCCGGGUCAUUUAGGCCUCGGAUAUUCCAAAAAAAGUGGUUUGUACUCAUAGAUAAUGAGCCGGGGGGUCUCCCUGGGCUGGGAGAGAACCAUCCAAAAGAAGCUCACGAUCAGACGAAGGAGAUGACAAAAAGGUAAUAGGUAUAGUAGGUUAGGGAAAAGGAAUACUGGGAGGGUUCAAAAGGGUAGGGUGAGAUCUUGAUCUUUUUAGAGAGGGACUAUGAGGGUAAGGCAGGCCUGAUGGGGUGAUAGUAGCUGGUAGCCCAAUGAUCAUGGGUAAAUCAGGUUCUUUUGAGGAUUUUUUAGUGGAAGGUAGAUGAGGAGAUUUAUUGGUGGAGGGAAGCUGAGGAUUAGAUAGAAGGAAGGAUUUGGUGGUGGAUAUAGGGGCAGGGGGCGUAUGAGGAGGGAUAGAAGGUGAAUUUAGGGGAGGGACAGAAUCAUCUGAUGGUAGAGUAGAGAAAGGGUUGGUUGAAAGAAGGGGUUUUUGGGCAGUAGGAGGAGACAGAACAGCUUUAGCAGUACUCUUUGCACUUUUGAACUGUGCCUCCUUAGUAAUAGUGGCACUUUGAGGGUCUACGGCUGCAGAGACAGUAGCAUCAACAGUUUUUUCUUUCCCUUUACGACGAGAUGGUCCUGAAUCAUUGCUGUCUUUGUUUGUAGGGGCUGCAGAUGAAGGAGGAGGAAGAUGCAAGCAGUUUUUGGCAAUAUGCCCGAGUUCUUUACAAUGGGAGCAAGUAGGAGGCAGCCAAGGGUAAUCAAUCUCAAUUUCUACGACUUGACCAUCAUCUCUAGUAAACUCCACUACAUUCGGGAGUGGUUUGGUAAGAUCCACUAGAACUUUAGCAUGAGACACUUUUAGA